AAAGGUCUGGAUGUAGAAACGAACGUCCACAGUUUUCACAGAUACACUGUUCUACACCAACUCCAUGUUUCGUAGCGAGAUGCAGUGAUAAAGAACAUUUGUACUGCAAAGAUUUAUCACAUAAGUGACAACGAUGAGACAACUGUGUGUCAAUACAAAUGACAUGCUGCAAUUGUGAGAGGAAGUUUCUUUUUCACUUGCAAAAGAUAGAUCAUAUGUCUGCACUUCUUUAGAUACUGUGUUUGGAGAAAGUGUCUGAGUGCCACAACUCACAAUGGACUGCUUAGGGAAAGCUGUUCUUAGAUCAUUCCUGUACAAGUAGCUCCCUCCCCCUGGAUGCUGUAGUAAGUGGAGAUGAAGAUCUAAAACACGGUCACCUGGAAAAGAAACGAUAAUUAAGAUUGUAUAUAGAAAAAAUACAAAACUUAUUUUGCUGAGAUUAACAGAAAUCAGUUUAUUUUUGUGCAUAAAACUGUGAUAAUAAAAACAUUUCUCAUCUGA